CGGCGCGCGGUCCGGGUCGGUUGGGUCCGAGUGCGACAGGCAGCGCCGGGAGCAGCGACUCGACUGUGGCCUGGGCUGAAGCGAAAGAAGAAAACGUCACUCUUGCUGAUGCAGGUGUUGGAAACCCUGAAGUAUUUCUCAAGUUCCCCAUGGCGUCUCUUCACUGUGCUACGAUUGCUGGAGCCAGGGACCUGGCUGUCCCAUGGUACCAUUCAGUGUUCUUAAGACGCAUGGCAUUGGAGUGAGGCUUAUUGUGCUGUACUUUGUAAUUGCCUUUACAUUAGUGGAUUUACAACCUGUGCUCCUGCCAUCACUAGAGGCUGGGCUGCUCUCAGUGGGGUUGACGGCAUAGCUGUCGGUUAGGGGUGUGAUUUUUUUUGCUGACACAACUGUGCUAAUAAAAGUUCUAGCAUAAGUCCAGUGAUAGCAGCAAAAAUGUCAUUUUGCCAGCCUAUUUCAUGCAGGGGACUGGGAUAAGCUAUGCUGGUGAAAGGACUUUUUUUACCACUAUAGACUGGAUUUCCCAAAUGAGGGUUUGCUGGAAUGGCUAUACCGAUGUAGUUACACUGACAAACCUUUUAAGCGUAGCCAAGCCUGUCUUUUGAUGUGGCUCUCCCAGAGGCAGCAGCAAAGAAUGAAAGGGAUAGCUUUGGCAGCCAGCCAGAGCUUCAGGUUGGCAGGGACCAGAUUGGUAUAUUUCUUACUCGAUCAGUUAUUCAUCAAGUGUUCUGAAUGGGGAGGGCAGCAGGCUGUUUUCAGGUACCAAGACAUUGUCUUCCGUCUCCAUGCAGCCUGCUUGUGAAUCGCAGCAAUGAGAUGUAGUGCUGCUUGGGGACAGAGCCCAGUACCCAAAUGGGAAGGAAGAAUGUUUUCACUGACCCCCGACCCAGUGUCCACUGCAUUAACUGUGUUGCACUGCCCUCCUGCUCAAGGCUCUGCGACACCUCUGUGACACUGCAUUGCCCCAGGUGUACUGUACUGCACUGCACUGCCCACAUGGUACUGAAUUACCCCUAGUGCUGCCCUCCAUUCCUUGCACUGCUAUCCCCCCGAGGUGCUGCAGUACCACUGGGGCACUGCAUUACACCCCAUGGCUACUCUAGCUCUGCUGAAUGUUAUCCCUAUGGCACUGCAAUAGCACCACGUUACUGUCUGUCUGCCAUUGUACUGUCACCCUACCUGCACUGGCUUAGCUCCACACCAAACUGCUACCCGUGGUGCUCAAUUACCUCCCGAGCGCUGCAUCCCUCCCAUGGGAAGGGAAGCCGCUGAGUCAGCCAAACAGCUGAACUGUGGCCAGUCAGGAAUUUCCCAUGCAUGGGAUCAUGCUGGAUUCUGCUUAGAACAAACCCAGACUUGUCUGAGGUGCCCAGCAACCACUAUUACAUUUAGGAAGAGUUUGCCCAGAAGUUAAUGCUCAAGGAAGAAGUCAUCUGAUGUCCAAAUUCAUUUCUAAACAGUCUGGCCAAGGCACUAGAAGGUUGACACAUGUGGUCUCUCUCUCUCCUUGCCUCAGCUCACGGAGGGCUGCCAGACAUGGGUUUCAUGUACUUCAGGGACAGCCGAGUGUUCAGUCUUGAAAACACGCUAUUUCCCCACAGGAGGUGUCAUGGUCUGUAGCAAAGUGUUCUUUGGAAUCCUACUGUAGUGGCAAUGACUGCCUGGGUAUAGUAGUAAUAACCUCACAAAUGUCAGUCCACAAAAUCCCACCUACAGAUGGAGAAACUGAGGCACAGAGCAGCAAAGUGACUUACCAAAGGCCACAGAGGGAGUCAGUGGCAGUUAGUCUCAGGAAUUCUUGGCUUCCAAUCCAGUGCUCAGUCCAUUAUGUUACAUUGUUUCUCUAGAGCUAGAGACCCAUUUAAUGCAACAUGGUCUAUAAGUUAGGACUAUAUGAGGAGCGAUUAAAAAGACUGGGUGUGUUCAGCUUGGAAAAAGUGAUGACUAAGAUAUGAUAGAAAUCUAUGAAAUUG